rnacentral:lncRNA from 1 species
AAAGAAGAUGGCAUAGAAGAAGUGAGGGAGAGAGCAAACGUCUGACUCUGGGGUGCUUAUCUGUGUGGAAGAGACCGGUUCUUCCUGACUGGCUUCAUGUCCCUCAAGGUGUUCUCCUAGCUGCUCAAGUAUUUACCCGUCUGUGUGUGACUCAUAUCCAGGAACCCAAGCGGCUUUCCUCAAUAGAUUGCUCCUUCAGAAGAUGAGCCUCCCCUGCUGCUCCACAAGGCUCAAGUGCUUCAAUGAAAUAAAAGAGAACUGAAAUAAAAGAGAAAUAAAAGAGUCUG